AUGACUUUCAUCACCAUCUUCAUCUGGACACUGACCUGCUGCUGCUUUAAAGAGUCCAGAGGUCAGGUGACUGUGACUCAGACUCCUGUAGGGAAAUCUGUUCUUCCAGGAGACACAGUCACUAUCAACUGUAAAACCAGCUCUAGAGUGCACAAUGGUAAUGCUCUAGCCUGGUACCAACACAAACCUGGACAGGCUCCUAAACUCCUGAUUAAGCUUGUAAGCACCCGUCAGUCUGGAGUUCCAGCUCGUUUCAGUGGCACUGGAUCUGGGACUGACUUCACUCUGACCAUCAGUAACAUCCAGACUGAAGAUGCAGGAGAUUAUUACUGUCAGAGUCGACAUGACAUCAGUGAUAGCAAAUAUGUGUUCACACAGUGA